rnacentral:rRNA from 1 species
UUACCAGGGUUUGACAUGCUUGAAGUAGAAACUCGAAAGAGGGACGAUCAGUAUCCAAUCUGGAACUUGCACAGGUGCUGCAUGGCUGUCGUCAGCUCGUGCCGUGAGGUGUUAGGUUAAGUCCUGCAACGAGCGCAACCCUCGUCGCUAGUUAAUUUCUCUAUCGAUACUGCCCGUACAACGCGGAGGAAGGUGGGGAUGACGUCAAGUCAGCAUGGCCCUUACACCCUGGGCUACACACACGCUACAAUGGGUGAUACAACGGGAUGCAAUAGAGCGAUCUGGAGCUAAUCCUAAAAAUCAUCCUCAGUUCGGAUUGUAGGCUGCAACUGCCUGCAUGAAGUUGGAGUUGCUAGUAACCGCAGGUCAGCACACUGCGGUGAAUACGUUCUCGGGCCUUGUACACACCGCCCGUCACGUCAUGGAAGUCGAUAACACCUGAAGUCGAUAGGCUAACCCGCAAGGGAGGCAGUCGCCGAAGGUGGGACCGGUAACUGGGCCGAAGUCGUAACAAGGUAGCC